rnacentral:rRNA from 1 species
UACGGAGGGUGCGAGCGUUGUUCGGAAUUACUGGGCGUAAAGCGCGUGUAGGCGGCCGAUUAAGUCUGGUGUGAAAGCCCGGGGCUCACCCCCGGAAGUGCGCUGGAAACUGGUCGGCUAGAGUAUGGGAGAGGAAAGUGGAAUUCCCGGUGUAGCGGUGGAAUGCGUAGAUAUCGGGAGGAACACCAGCGGCGAAGGCGGCUUUCUGGACCAAUACUGACGCUGAGACGCGAAAGCGUGGGGAGCAAACAGG